rnacentral:rRNA from 1 species
UUUAAUUGAAGAGUUUGAUCAUGGCUCAGAUUGAACGCUGGCGGCAGGCCUAACACAUGCAAGUCGAGCGGAAACGAGUUGUCUGAACCUUCGGGGAACGAUAACGGCGUCGAGCGGCGGA